AUGAACGCUGGCGGCGUGCCUAAUACAUGCAAGUCGAGCGAACAGACGAGGAGCUUGCUCCUCUGACGUUAGCGGCGGACGGGUGAGUAACACGUGGAUAACCUACCUAUAAGACUGGGAUAACUUCGGGAAACCGGGGCUAAUACCGGAUAAUAUAUUGAACCGCAUGGUUCAAUAGUGAAAGACGGUUUUGCUGUCACUUAUAGAUGGAUCCGCGCCGCAUUAGCUAGUUGGUAAGGUAACGGCUUACCAAGGCGACGAUGCGUAGCCGACCUGAGAGGGUGAUCGGCCACACUGGAACUGAGACACGGUCCAGACUCCUACGGGAGGCAGCAGUAGGGAAUCUUCCGCAAUGGGCGAAAGCCUGACGGGGCAACGCCGCGUGAGUGAUGAAGGUCUUCGGAUCGUAAAACUCUGUUAUUAGGGAAGAACAAAUGUGUAAGUAACUAUGCACGUCUUGACGGUACCUAAUCAGAAAGCCACGGCUAACUACGU
rnacentral:rRNA from 1 species